rnacentral:rRNA from 1 species
AUUGAACGCUAGCGGCAGGCCUAACACAUGCAAGUCGAACGAGUGGCGGACGGGUGAGUAAUAUAUGGGAACCUGCCCGGUGGAGGGGGAUAACUACUCGAAACGGUAGCUAAUACCGCAUACCAUCAGAUGUGCCGAGAUGGGAUUAGCUUGUUGGUGGGGUAAAGGCUCACCAAGGCGACGAUCCCUAGCUGGUCUGAGAGGAUGACCAGCCACACUGGAACUGAGACACGGUCCAGACUCCUACGGGAGGCAGCAGUGGGGAAUGUUGCACAAUGGGCGAAAGCCUGAUCCAGCCAUGCCGCGUGUAUGAAGAAGGCCUUCGGGUUGUAAAGUACUUUUAGCGGGGAGGCGGUAUCCGCAGAAGAAGCACCGGCUAACUACGUGCCAGCAGCCGCGGUAAUAC